CCGGACGUGAUGACGUAAGUCCAACGAAUUAUUCGCCCAACGGAGUGAGCCCGCGUAGGAUUAGCUAGUUGGUGAGGUAAAGGCUCACCAAGGCGACGAUCCUUAGCUGGUCUGAGAGGAUGACCAGCCACACUGGGACUGAGACACGGCCCAGACUCCUACGGGAGGCAGCAGUGGGGAAUAUUGGACAAUGGGCGAAAGCCUGAUCCAGCAAUGCCGCGUGAGUGAUGAAGGCCUUAGGGUUGUAAAGCUCUUUUACCCGGGAUGAUAAUGACAGUACCGGGAGAAUAAGCUCCGGCUAACUCCGUG
rnacentral:rRNA from 1 species